rnacentral:rRNA from 1 species
UGGGGAAUAUUGGACAAUGGGGGCAACCCUGAUCCAGCGAUGCCGCGUGGGUGAAGAAGGCCUUCGGGUUGUAAAGCCCUUUAGGUUGGGAAGAAGGGUAUUAGGGGAUAAUCCUAGUACUUUGACGGUACCGACAGAAUAAGCACCGGCAAACUCUGUGCCAGCAGCCGCGGUAAUACAGAGGGUGCAAGCGUUAAUCGGAGUUACUGGGCGUAAAGGGCGCGUAGGCGGUUAUAUGUGUGCAAUGUGAAAGCCCCGGGCUUAACCUGGGAAGUGCAAGGCAAACUGUAUAACUGGAGUAUAUGAGAGGGUGGCGGAAUUUCCGGUGUAGCGGUGAAAUGCGUAGAGAUCGGAAGGAACGUCGAUGGCGAAGGCAGCCACCUGGCAUAAUACUGACGCUGAGGCGCGAAAGCGUGGGGAGCGAACA